GCUCCCGACGCCCCCGGCCCCGCUCCCGGAUCCGGGCGGUGAGGGCUGGGCGGCGACGGAGCCCGUGAGCCCUGGCCCGCCGGCCUGCCCCCACCUCUCCCAGGUGAGAAGCGCCGCCCAGUCGCGCCUCCUUCCUCGCCGUCUCCUUGCAGCUGUCACCGCGGCCCGCGGCCGCCUCCCAGCGCCGGGAGAGGCGCACACAAAGAACGCGGGCCGGCUUCGCGCGGGCCGGCUCCCAGCCCGGCUGUGCGACCUUGAGCAGACGCCGAGCUCCCCGCCGAGCUCCUCACCCGUGCAGGGGCUUGCAGGAUGAGAGCGCGGCGAAGCGCUCAGGCCGCCGCGCCGGGCGCGCCCCCUCCCUCCCCGCGGCGCCCGCCCGCGCCCCGGGCCGCCUAGUGGGGGAGGCGCCCGACGGCCGCGCGCUCCGAUUUCCUCGCCGUAGGAACUGGAAUUCCACAGGGGGAUUCGAGAGGAAAUGAGACCGGGACGCUCCGUGCUCCUCGGCCCGCCGCCCUUCCUGCCUCGGGGACACGGUUUCUAAAUAAGGCAGUGUGUGCUGGUCCGCCUUUCCGCUCUCCGCACGGCCAGUGAAUCUGAGCAGGUGGAUUCCUAAACCCUUUUCUUAUUUGACUGUGGUCAAGCUCCUGUGCUUUUGUGAACCUGAGACUAGCCAUCUGGCCAACUUUGGAGGGAAAUUCAUGUCUACGUCACACCGGUGUUUUAAGAGUUAAAUGAGAUAAUGCUUACAAAUUAUUUAGCAGUGUUUGGCACAUAAUAAACGCUGAAUAACGUG